rnacentral:rRNA from 1 species
UACAGAGGGGGCGAGCGUUAUUCGGAAUUAUUGGGCGUAAAGGGCGCGUAGGCGGCCAUUCAAGUGACGGGUGAAAGCCCUCGGCUUAACCGAGGAACUGCCUGUCAGACUGGAUGGCUCGAGACCGGGAGAGGUGAGUGGAAUUCCCAGUGUAGCGGUGAAAUGCGUAGAUAUUGGGAGGAACACCAGUGGCGAAGGCGGCUCACUGGGUAUCUUCUGACGCUGAGGGACGAAAGCCAGGGGAGCGAAUGGG